GAACAGCGAUAUUUCAGAAUGAGGAAAGCUGCAGUUUUGCUGCUCUGUCUGCUCUGGACGGGGGCUCAGGGUGAGGAUGGAGCUCUAGAGAACAGGAUGAGCUCCAGUGAAAAGCAGGUGGUGGAGUUCCAGACACAUAACUCAGCCGGUACUCAGGUGGCGUUCUCAGUCGGUCUCAGUGAUGCAGGAGUAGUCGGACCCUUCGGC